GAUGAACGCUAGCGGCAGGCCUAACACAUGCAAGUCGAGGGAGAAGCCCUUUCGAGGUCAGAAACCGGCGCACGGGUGCGUAACGCGUAUGCAACCUACCUUUCACAUAGUUAUAGCCCGAAGAAAUUUGGAUUAAUACCCCAUAAUUUUAUUAUAUGGCAUCAUUUUAUAAUUAAAACUGCGUUGGUGAUAGAUGGGCAUGCGUCCUAUUAGCUAGUUGGAGUGGUAACGGCACCCCAAGGCUACGAUAGGUAGGGGUCCUGAGAGGGAGAUACACCACACUGGUACUGAGACAGAGACCAGACUCCUACGGGAGGGAGCAGUGAAGAAUACUAGGGAAUGGUCGGAAGACUGAACAAGCCAUGCCGCGUGAAGGAAGAUUGGCUUAGGGGUUGUAAACUGCUUUUAUAUGAGAAGAAUAAGGCGUACGUGUACGUUGAUGACGGUACCAUAUGAAUAAGCACCGGCUAACUUCGUG
rnacentral:rRNA from 1 species